CACGGGGGGAGCAAGCGUUGUUCGGAAUCACUGGGCGUAAAGGGCGUGUAGGCGGUCAAGUAAGUGGAAUGUGAAACGCCUCGGCUUACCCGAGGACCUGCAUCCCAAACUGCUUGGCUUGAGUAUGGGAGAGGAUGAGGGAAUUCCUGGUGUAGCGGUGAAAUGCGUAGAUAUCAGGAGGAACACCGGUGGCGAAGGCGGCGCCCUGGUCCGUUUCUGACGCUGAGACGCGAAAGCGCGGGGAGCGAACGGG
rnacentral:rRNA from 1 species